UACGAGGGGGGCGAGCGUUGUUCGGAAUUACUGGGCGUAAAGGGCUCGUAGGUGGCCAACUAAGUCAGACGUGAAAUCCCUCGGCUUAACCGGGGAACUGCGUCUGAUACUGGAUGGCUUGAGAUUGGGAGAGGGAUGCGGAAUUCCAGGUGUAGCGGUGAAAUGCGUAGAUAUCUGGAGGAACACCGGUGGCGAAGGCGGCAUCCUGGACCAUUACUGACACUGAGAAGCGAAAGCCAGGGGAGCAAACGGG
rnacentral:rRNA from 1 species